CAGCUCAUAGCACAUUGAAAACACCGGUUCUCAUCUGAUUACCGAAGUUAAGCAAUGUCGGGCCCGGUCAGUACUUGGGAGGGUGACCACCUGGGAACACCGAGUGAUGUAUGCU